CAGCCGCCGCGGGAAUACGUAGGGUGCGAGCGUUAAUCGGAAUUACCGGGUGUAAAGCGUGCGCAGGCGGUUCGUUAAGACAGAUGUGAAAUCCCCGGGCUUAACCUGGGAACUGCAUUUGUGACUGGCGAGCUAGAGUACGGCAGAGGGGGGUAGAACUCCACGUGUAGCAGUGAAAUGCGUAGAGAUGUGGAGGAAUACCGAUGGCGAAGGCAGCCCCCUGGGCCAAUACUGACGCUCAUGCACGAAAGCGUGGGGAGCAAACAGGAUUAGAUACCCGCGUAGUCCCUGUCUCUUAUAA
rnacentral:rRNA from 1 species